UAAAUUAAAUAUGGUUUAUGAGAAAUUAUUCUAACUUUUUUAUAUUACACAUAAAAAUAAAAAAUAGAAAAUUUAUUUUAUUUUAAUAAUUAACUAUUAUUGAGAGCUAGAUUUAAUUUGUAGCUAAAUUUGUGCCAGCAGCAGCGGUUAAACAAAUACAAUUAUUCUCAUAAUAAUUAGUUGUAAAUAAUCAAAGAUAUAUUUUUAUAAAAAUUUAAGGUGAAAUUUUUUUUUCGUUAUAAUAAAUUUUUAUUAAAAACUUAAUUCCUGUUUUAAACUAGGAUUAGAUACCCUAUUAUUUAGGAGCUUGAUAUUGUAAGUAUAUAUAAAUUAUGAAAGCAAAAUAUUAUGGCGGUAUUCUAAGCUUUUCAGAGGAAUUUGCUCUUUAAUGGAUAAAACACCUUAAUCUUACUUUAAUUAGUUAAGUCAAUUUGUAUACCACUAUUAAAAUAAUAAUGAAAGAUUAUUAUUAUAACAUAAAAAAUUCAUAAAAAAUUAAGUCAAGGUGCAGUAAAAAUUAAAGAAUGAAGUGAAUUACAUUGCUUUAAAGAAAGAAAAAAAUGAAAUAUUUUAUAUAGGAUUUGAAAGUAAAAUUAAAAUAGGAAGUUAAUUUGAAAAAAGCUCUAGAAUAUGUACAUAUCGCCCGUCACUCUUACUUAAGAUAAGUCGUAACAAAGUUAAAAUACUGGAAAGUGUUUUA
rnacentral:rRNA from 1 species